rnacentral:rRNA from 1 species
UCGAGGGGCAGCAUUUUAGUUUGCUUGCAAACUGAAGAUGGCGACCGGCGCAUGGGUGAGUAACACGUAUCCAACCUGCCGAUAACUCCGGGAUAGCCUUUCGAAAGAAAGAUUAAUACCGGAUAGCAUACGAAUAUCGCAUGAUAUUUUUAUUAAAGAAUUUCGGUUAUCGAUGGGGAUGCGUUCCAUUAGUUUGUUGGCGGGGUAACGGCCCACCAAGACUACGAUGGAUAGGGGUUCUGAGAGGAAGGUCCCCCACAUUGGAACUGAGACACGGUCCAAACUCCUACGGGAGGCAGCAGUGAGGAAUAUUGGUCAAUGGGCGCGAGCCUGAACCAGCCAAGUAGCGUGAAGGAUGAAGGCUCUAUGGGUCGUAAACUUCUUUUAUAUGGGAAUAAAGUUUUCCACGUGUGGAAUUUUGUAUGUACCAUAUGAAUAAGGAUCGGCUAACUCCGUGCCAGCAGCUGCGGUAAUACGGAGGAUCCGAGCGUUAUCCGGAUUUAUUGGGUUUAAAGGGAGCGUAGGUGGAUUGUUAAGUCAGUUGUGAAAGUUUGCGGCUCAACCGUAAAAUUGCAGUUGAAACUGGCAGUCUUGAGUACAGUAGAGGUGGGCGGAAUUCGUGGUGUAGCGGUGAAAUGCUUAGAUAUCACGAAGAACUCCGAUUGCGAAGGCAGCUCACUAGACUGUCACUGACACUGAUGCUCGAAAGUGUGGGUAUCAAACAGGAUUAGAUACCCUGGUAGUCCACACAGUAAACGAUGAAUACUCGCUGUUUGCGAUAUACAGUAAGCGGCCAAGCGAAAGCAUUAAGUAUUC